UACGAGGGGGGCAAGCGUUGUUCGGAAUUACUGGGCGUAAAGCGUGCGCAGGCGGUAAGUUAAGUCUGAUGUGAAAGCCCCGGGCUCAACCUGGGAAUGGCAUUGGAAACUGGCUUGCUGGAGUGUGGCAGAGGGGGGUGGAAUUCCGCGUGUAGCAGUGAAAUGCGUAGAGAUGCGGAGGAACACCGAUGGCGAAGGCAGCCCCCUGGGCCAACACUGACGCUCAGGCACGAAAGCGUGGGGAGCAAACAGG
rnacentral:rRNA from 1 species